rnacentral:misc_RNA from 1 species
GCAUGGUCUGAUAAAACAUGACAAUUCCCCACUUGAAAAAUGCCCAUUAACACAGUUUUCACUAACUGUCAGCUAAUACCUAGAACCAAAUUCAAAAGGGAGAGAGAGAGAGAGAGAAGAGAGAGAGAGAGAUUUAAUUUCAUUGGUUUCAAUUGGCACAACUAUAAGGCCAUUGAAAAACUUCAGAUAAAAAUGGCCUUUAGCGAACAAUGGGUUGCAGAUAUUUAUAGAUAAAUAAAAGAUCAGAAAUUGUUAAGGGAAGGAAUAGGACUGAAGAGUAGGAAGAGCUAUUCAGAUGCUGAAAUACUCUCCUGAUUGUCAACAGCACAGCCAGUCUCAAGAACUGUGAUCCUGUUUGGGGGCCAAUAGCGAAAAAUUGAUCUUCCUAUUAUAUUCUUUGCAGGAAGGGCACCCCACACAUGUGAAUCAUAACUGUUAUUGCGGUUGUCACCCAUCACAAAAACUGAGUUCUUAGGUACACGAAUUGGUGUCAUGUCAUAAGAAGGCGGUUCAAGAAUAUAAUUUUCAUUUCUCACAACUCCAUUGACUAUAAGCUUCCCUGCACGAACCUCCACAAUAUCACCUUCCUUUGCAACAACUCGUUUAAUGAAGACAUCAUCAUCAGUGUAUCCAACUUCCUGAAGCACUGGUGGACUUUUAAAAAUCACUAUAUCAUUUGCACAAGGCUUUCUGAAAUAGUACGUAACCUUCUCUGCAACAACACGAUCACCAACAUCAAAAGUGGGAUACAUCGACAAUGAAGGAAUAUACCUAGGCUCAGCAAUAAAAGACCGAAAGGCAAGCGAAAUCACUAGCGCAGCAAACACAGUCUUUGCGUCAUCAGAAGUGAAAUUCAACCACUCUGGCAAAAUUCCACCACUCUUCUCCACAUCCCCAUCACCAUCAUCCCCACCUCCACUUCCACUACUACUAUCACUACCAUCAUCACCGCCUGAAUUAACCACAGUCUUAGUCUCCUCACCAGAACCCUUAAUCCGAUAGCAUCUUAACCUCAGAAACUGAACUGCAGGAUUUUGAAAUUGGGGGUUUUUGAGAUUGGGUUUAAGGUUCUGAGGGAGAGAGUUGAAAUGGGUAUGUGUGGAAUGAAGGGGUUCUGAAUUCUUGUGAAGACUAAGAAUUGUAAAGCAAAGAUUCUUCUGGGUAUUGGAUAAGGAAUUUGAGGAGAAAUUAGAGUUCUUGAAGGGUGGGGACCAAUGGGACAAGAGAGGGGUAGGAUUUAUAGCAUGUUUAGAGUGAAAAUUGGGGAUUUGCAGGGCAGGCAAAGGAGGUAGCAGUUGCAGAGAUAUCAUAUCUACUCAGAGUUGGGUACAGAGUGAGCUUGACAAUACCAGUGCCUUUUACGGCCUUCUACUUAAAAUGCCUCCAUGGGGUAUCAGCUUUGGACGACGGCUGUUAUAAUUCUAUAACCCACAAUAUUUCUCUGCGGAAACUAUUCACCGGCGACCUUCCUUGCGCUUCCACUCACUGAGAAUCGUCUGUUGUCCUUUUUUCUUCUUUGAGUCUCUGUUUUUCC